CACAUCUCUCAGGGGAGGAGGAUCGCGACCCGUCUGUAUAGAUAUAUAUCCAGUUUCGGAAUUCAUUACGAAUUGGACUGCUAGUCGAAUGGAAAAGCAAAUAGGAAGUGGAUGUUCGAUGAUUCUAUCUUGAUAUCUCCUGGAGGCUAACCAGUUUGAAAAAAGAAAAGUCUUCUGGAACAGAGCCGGAAUUGUAGAACCCUUCAAGUAGGCCACGGAGAAUUUCAAGAGCUUCAGUAGGUAAGUUUUUGAACAAAUUG